AACUUUCAACAACGGAUCUCUUGGCUCUCGCAUCGAUGAAGAACGCAGCGAAUGCGAUAAGUAAUGUGAAUUGCAGAAUUCAGUGAAUCAUCGAAUCUUUGAACGCACCUUGCGCCCUUUGGUAUUCCGAAGGGCAUGCCUGUUUGAGUGUCA
rnacentral:rRNA from 1 species